rfam:Glarea lozoyensis 74030 unplaced genomic scaffold M7I_scaffold23, whole genome shotgun sequence.
AAGCUUUAAAUGAUGAAAGAUUCCGGAUGUUAACUCAUUAUUGUCUCCGAGAGCGCAAAACUAUGUGGAGAUUUCCGUUGCCUUCCUUCUGAUUUCACAAGCC